GGGAGAGAAUGCACUAAACAAGCUGGAAAAAUGGUGUUAGAGAGAAAACAAAGGAUGGAAAAAAAAUGUAAGUCACAUGCAGUGUAUCUUUAUAUGACUUUAUUAUAUAAUUCAAAUAGUAAACCUGCCUAUACUUUAUAUAAUUAAUAACAAACUGCACCCCACUAUACUAUAAUAACAAACUGCACCCCACUAUACUAUAAUAACAAACUGCACCCCACUAUACUGUAAUACCAUACUGCACCCCCACUAUACUAUAAUACCAUACUGCACCCCCACUAUACUAUAAUACCAUACUGCACCCCACUACACUAUACCAACAUACUGCACCCCACUAUACAAUAAUACCAUACUGCACCCCCACUAUACUAUAAUAACAAACUGCACCCCACUAUACUAUAAUACCAUACUGCACCCCACUAUACUAUAAUACAAUACUGCACCCCACUAUACUAUAAUACCAUAAUGCACCCCCACUAUACUAUACCAACAUACUGCACCCCACUAUACUAUACCAACAUACUGCACCCCACUACACUAUAAUACCAUACUGCACCCCACUAUACUAUAAUACCAUACUGCACCCCCACUAUACUAUAAUAACAAACUGCACCCCCACUAUACUAUAAUACCAUACUGCACCCCACUAUACUAUAACAACAUACUGCACCCUACUACACUAUAAUAACAAACUGCACCCCACUAUACUAUAAUACCAUACUGCACCCCCACUAUACUAUAAUAACAUACUGCACCCCCACUAUACUAUAAUAACAAACUGCACCCCACUAUACUAUAAUAACAUACUGCACCCCCACUAUACUAUAAUAACAUACUGCACCCCCACUAUACUCUAAUAACAAACUGCACCCCCACUAUACUAUAAUAACAAACUGCACCCCACUAUACUAUAAUACCAUACUGCACCCCCACUAUACUAUAAUAACAAACUGCACCCCACUAUACUAUAAUAACAAACUGCACCCCACUAUACUAUAAUACCAUUCUGCACCCCACUAUACUAUAAUACCAUACUGCACCCCCACUAUACUAUAAUAACAAACUGCACCCCACUAUAUUAUAAUAACAAACUGCACCCCACUAUACUAUAAUAACAAACUGCACCCCACUAUACUAUAAUACUAUUUCAGCACCCCACUAUACUAUAAUGUACCAUUCUGCACCCCACUAUACUACAUAUAUAAUACCAUACUGCACAAAUCUACUAUACUAUAAUAACAAACUGCACCCUACCAUAUUAUAAUAACAAACUGCACCCUCUACUAUACUAUAUAUAAUAACAAACUGCACCCCUACUAUAUUGUUAAUACCAUACUGCACCCCUACUAUACUAUAUAAACAACAAACUGCACCCUACUCAUACUCAUAUACCAAAUAACAUACUGCACCCCACUAUACUAUAAUACCAUACUGCACCUCCUUACUCAUACUAUAAUACCAUACUGCACCCCAUUAUACACAAUACCAUACUGCACCCCACUAUACUAUAAUAAUACCAUACUGCACCCCACUAUACUACUAUAAUACCAUACUGCACCCCACCACCAUACCAACAUACUGCACCCCCACUAUAUACUAUAAUAACAUACUGCACCCCACUAUACUAUAAUACCAUUCUGCACCCCACUAUACUAUAAUACCAUACUGCACCCCCACUAUACUAUAAUAACAUACUGCACCCCAUUAAACUAUAAUAACAAACUGCACCCCACUAUACUAUAAUACCAUACUGCACCCCCAUUAUACUAUAAUAACAAACUGCACCCCACUAUACUAUAAUACCAUACUGCACCCCACUAUACUAUACCAACAUACUGCACCCCGCUAUACUAUAAUACCAUACUGCACCCCACUAUACUAUAAUACCAUACUGCACCCCCACUAUACUAUAAUAACAAACUGCACCCCACUAUACUAUAAUACCAUUCUGCACCCCACUAUACUAUAAUACCAUACUGCACAACCACUAUACUAUAAUAACAAACUGCACCCCACUAUAUUAUAAU
rnacentral:lncRNA from 1 species